rnacentral:rRNA from 1 species
AGAGUUUGAUCAUGGCUCAGAUUGAACGCUGGCGGCAUGCCUUACACAUGCAAGUCGAACGGUAACAGGUCUUCGGACGCUGACGAGUGGCGAACGGGUGAGUAAUACAUCGGAACGUGCCCAGUCGUGGGGGAUAACUACUCGAAAGAGUAGCUAAUACCGCAUACGAUCUGAGGAUGAAAGCGGGGGACCUUCGGGCCUCGCGCGAUUGGAGCGGCCGAUGGCAGAUUAGGUAGUUGGUGGGAUAAAAGCUUACCAAGCCGACGAUCUGUAGCUGGUCUGAGAGGACGACCAGCCACACUGGGACUGAGACACGGCCCAGACUCCUACGGGAGGCAGCAGUGGGGAAUUUUGGACAAUGGGCGAAAGCCUGAUCCAGCAAUGCCGCGUGCAGGAUGAAGGCCUUCGGGUUGUAAACUGCUUUUGUACGGAACGAAAAAGCUUCUCCUAAUACGAGAGGCCCAUGACGGUACCGUAAGAAUAAGCACCGGCUAACUACGUGCCAGCAGCCGCGGUAAUACGUAGGGUGCGAGCGUUAAUCGNAAUUACUGGGCGUAAAGCGUGCGCAGGCGGUUAUGUAAGACAGAUGUGAAAUCCCCGGGCUCAACCUGGNAACUGCAUUUGUGACUGCAUGGCUAGAGUACGGUAGAGGGGGAUGGAAUUCCGCGUGUAGCAGUGAAAUGCGUAGAUAUGCGNAGGAACACCGAUGGCGAAGGCAAUCCCCUGGNCCUGUACUGACGCUCAUGCACGAAAGCGUGGGGAGCAAACAGGANUAGAUACCCUGNAGUCCACGCCCUAAACGANGUCAACUGGUUGUUGGGAAUUAGUUUUCUCAGUAACGAANCUAACG